GAGCGCCGCAGCGAGCCUCAUCCCUAGAAUGAUACAAAGAAGAUUAGCAUGUCCCCUGCGCAAGGAUGACACGCGCAAAUAGAGAAAUGGUCCAAAUUUUA
rfam:Triticum aestivum genome assembly, contig: Triticum_aestivum_CS42_TGACv1_scaffold_296096_4AL